rnacentral:lncRNA from 1 species
AAAUAAGUGAAAAUAAGCCAAAAUCAAAAUUUAGAAUAUGACCUUGACCUUUGACCUUGACCUCAUUUUCAUUUUUUUGGACCAAGGACCGUAAAUCUGAAGACCCUAGGUCUCUAUCACUUAUGGUUUACCAGUUGAAAAUGCAUAUCACUUGAAUCAAAUGAAAAAGGGGGAAUAACUCUCAUACGGAGUCUCCAUAUAGCUUCGGUCCAAAUGAAUAUCCUUAUACUAAAGAUGUAACGAACAAUUUGGUAAAAUAAAUUUGUCGUAAUCUUUUACGGUUGCGAAGGAGUAGUGGCCACAAGAAAAACAGUGUUCGGGGAGAUAACUCAUACAAUUUAAAGUAUUUUGUUACGCGGUUGUAAAUUUUUAAAGCGUAUAAACUAUACGAUAUCAUAUUCAAAAUAUCUAAGCGACAACUUAUUAAACAACAAUACUACGUAAGAAAAAAAUUACGCGUAAGAAAAAAAAAAAUAAUAAUUAAAAACCAAUUGUUCAGAGAACAAUUGAAGGUCUUUCCACCAG